rnacentral:rRNA from 1 species
CUACGGGCCGCUGCAGGUGCGAAACCUUUACACUGUACGAAAGUACGAUAAGGGAAUCCCAAGUGCUCAUGCUUUGCAUGGGCUUUUGCCAAGAGUAAAUAUCUUGGCGAAUAAGUGGUGGGCAAGACGGGUGCCAGCCGCCGCGGUAACACCCGCGCCACAAGUGGGGACCUCGUUUAUUGGGCCUAAAGCGUCCGUAGCUGGUUUGGUAAAUCUUCUGUGAAAUCGUUGGGCUUAACUUAACGGCGUGCAGGAGACACUACCAGACUUGGAACCGGGAGGAGUUAGGAGUAUUCUGGGGGGAGCGGUAAAAUGCUAUAAUCCUCGGAAGACUACCUGUGGCGAAGGCGCCUAACCAGAACGGAUUCGACAGUGAGGGACGAAAGCUAGGGGAGCGAACCGGAUUAGAUACCCCUGUAGUC